UAUAUAUAUAUAUAUAUAUAUAUAUAUAUAUAUAUAUACUCGUGCUCGAGUAUAUAGUAUGACGACUCAUCAGCAUAUGUCAUGUCAAUUCAAAUGUGUCUUUCAAGCGAGCGAUCACUGUACACGCAGAACAACAGCAAAAUUUGUUGCUAUUAUAUGAAUUAAGCUUUUCGAGUGGAACAAAUGGUUGAUUUACUGUACACAAAUCAGUUUUACGAAAAUACUUAGCCCAGCACAAAAUGUACUCAGACAGCAGACAGCAGCUUACUUACAUUAGAUAUAGUAUAAUCAUAUAUAUAUAUAUAUUAUAUUAUAUAUAUUCGUACUUGAACUCAUACAACGCAAUCAUAUCAACAAUAUCAAUUAUCAAGCCCACGUAGCUGUGCACACACACAUGCGCACACAGUUAGAUUCAUAGCGAACCAGAACAAAGCUCUCAAUGUGACAGAUUAUUAAAGGAUUACACAGAUUAGAGUACUCAUAGCAUAAACUGAUCCAAACCGAGUAACUUCGGCUUGCCGAGGCGUAUUAUACCAGUGCGUAGAUUAUAUAUACUUUGUGCUCUUAGAGAUGAACGGGAGUGUCGAGUGAAGUUAUACCCUAGGAAAGGAAGAUCUAUGC